GACGAACGCUGGCGGCGUGCUUAACACAUGCAAGUCGAACGGAAAGGCCCUGCUUUUGUGGGGUGCUCGAGUGGCGAACGGGUGAGUAACACGUGAGUAACCUGCCCUUGACUUUGGGAUAACCUCAGGAAACUGGGGCUAAUACCGGAUAGGAGCUCCUGCUGCAUGGUGGGGGUUGGAAAGUUUCGGCGGUUGGGGAUGGACUCGCGGCUUAUCAGCUUGUUGGUGGGGUAGUGGCUUACCAAGGCUUUGACGGGUAGCCGGCCUGAGAGGGUGACCGGCCACAUUGGGACUGAGAUACGGCCCAGACUCCUACGGGAGGCAGCAGUGGGGAAUAUUGCACAAUGGGCGGAAGCCUGAUGCAGCAACGCCGCGUGCGGGAUGACGGCCUUCGGGUUGUAAACCGCUUUCGCCUGUGACGAAGCGUGAGUGACGGUAAUGGGUAAAGAAGCACCGGCUAACUACGUGCCAGCAGCCGCGGUGAUACGUAGGGUGCGAGCGUUGUCCGGAUUUAUUGGGCGUAAAGGGCUCGUAGGUGGUUGAUCGCGUCGGAAGUGUAAUCUUGGGGCUUAACCCUGAGCGUGCUUUCGAUACGGGUUGACUUGAGGAAGGUAGGGGAGAAUGGAAUUCCUGGUGGAGCGGUGGAAUGCGCAGAUAUCAGGAGGAACACCAGUGGCGAAGGCGGUUCUCUGGGCCUUUCCUGACGCUGAGGAGCGAAAGCGUGGGGAGCGAACAGGCUUAGAUACCCUGGUAGUCCACGCUGUAAACGGUGGGUACUAGGUGUGGGGUCCAUUCCACGGGUUCCGUGCCGUAGCUAACGCUUUAAGUACCCCGCCUGGGGAGUACGGCCGCAAGGCUAAAACUCAAAGGAAUUGACGGGGCCCCGCACAAGCGGCGGAGCAUGCGGAUUAAUUCGAUGCAACGCGUAGAACCUUACCUGGGUUUGACAUGGAUCGGGAGUGCUCAGAGAUGGGUGUGCCUCUUUUGGGGUCGGUUCACAGGUGGUGCAUGCCUGUCGUCAGCUCGUGUCGUGAGAUGUUGGGUUAAGUCCCGCAACGAGCGCAACCCUUGUUCACUGUUGCCAGCACGUUAUGGUGGGGACUCAGUGGAGACCGCCGGGGUCAACUCGGAGGAAGGUGGGGAUGACGUCAAGUCCUCAUGCCCCUUAUGUCCAGGGCUUCACGCAUGCUACAAUGGCUGGUACAGAGAGUGGCGAGCCUGUGAGGGUGAGCGAAUCUCGGAAAGCCGGUCUCAGUUCGGAUUGGGGUCUGCAACUCGACCUCAUGAAGUCGGAGUCGCUAGUAAUCGCAGAUCAGCAACGCUGCGGUGAAUACGUUCCCGGG
rnacentral:rRNA from 1 species